GACAUUUUAGCGGAAGACGUUGUGUUCCCUGCUAGCCUUUGCCUCCUUGAGGUCGGCCAAAUCGCUGUCCCCUGAGUGCUUCCACAGGGGUGACAAGUCUCCACAGCCUCUUGGCUUCGCUGAGCAUUGCUCUUGGCUUCGCUGAGCACUGCAAAGCAUGCUGAUUUUUCCUCCCGGAAUCCGCGCAGUGGGUAGCAACAAUCUGCAUACUGAGAACAGCUUGGCGAGGCUGAGUAAAGUCCCAAAAUGGAGAUUUAACUUCUAGUGCCUUGAGUUUUAACUUUGCCAUGAUGAUAAUGGAAUGAUGCUCUGAAACUAUAAGCCACCCCAAUUAAAUGCCUUCCUUUAUAAGAGUUGCCUCUUUUCACAGCAAAGGAAACCCUAAUGAAGACAAAAUUUGGUACCAGGAGUGGGGUAUUGCUGUGCGAGGCCUGACGAUGCUUUUGUUUGGAGGAAUGUGGAUUUGGGAACUUUGGAUUAGGAAAGCAGUUGAACUUUUUAAGUGGGGCUUAAUGCACCAUCCUAGAAGGAGCAUGGAAGACAGGUGCGCUGAGAAUGAUUUGAAUUUGGGGGCCUGGCUCAAGAGGUUUCAGAGAAGAAUUUUAGUAUGUGGUCUAGAGACUGUUAUUAUGAUAUCUUGUCAAAGAAUAUAGCUGCCUUUUCUCCUUUUCUGAAAAGUCUGCCUGAGGCUAAACUGAAGAGUUUUGGUUAGUUAAGUUGGCAGAGGAAAUUUCAAAACAUCCUAGUCUUGACUCUGUCCUGUGGUUAUUACUGUUCACUCUUAUGAAGAUCUGUAAUGAAAAAGAGCAAGCUGAGCAAAGACAGCUACAAAAUGUGCAGUAUGUGGGGAAGAGAGGAACCAGGAAGUGGAACGAAGUGAAGUCCUACGCUUAAGGAGAUAAACAGAGUAAAGAAAAACCUGAUGUUAAAUGAAAUAAAGGCAAGGCCCCACCCAACUAUGCUUCCAACCUGCAAAAAGGAACUAAAGAGCUAGUUUCAGAACAGCCAAGUUUAGGCAGCAAAGGAAACCAUUGAAAACAGAAAGUUGGAGAAGAUGUAAUUGAAUGAAGGGGUUGGGGCAUGUUCCAGCCCCAGCAAGCAGCAGAACUUGCCAGCUUCAGCCACAUGGUUCUGGCUUUAGAAUCAAGGAUAGAAGAAGUGGUUAUAGAAUCUCUGUGACUAAGGAAAGCCUCUGAGGCCAGGCACAUGUCAGGGGUGGCCUGUCAUGGAGGCCCAGAGAGGCCACUGUGUGAAGCUGUAAAGAUGAAGCCUGGAUUGCCUUGGAGACCCCAAGAUAUUGGAGAUGCCAGAGUCAUGUGAUACCUGCCAAGGAGAGCUGCUAACAGGGUAUGGAACCAGCCUAAGAGAGAGACGCAUGUUGCAGUCAACAAAGCUGAAAGGAGUUGGGGAUCUGAAGACAUCAGACAUGGAGAUGCAGAUUUUGGAGUGUGCCCAGCUGGUUUUCAGUCUUGCUUUGGUCCAGUGUUUCCUCACAGUGCUCCCUCCUCCAUUUGGAAUAAUGAUGUGAAUCCUGUGCUGUUAUAUAUUGGAAGUAUGUGACUAUGGUUUAGAUUUUAUAGGGGAUUACAGUUAGAAGAUUGCAUGAGACUCAGAAGAAACUUUGAACUUUCACAGGGUUGAGACUGUUACAGACUAUGGGGACUUCUGCAGUUGGACUAAACACAUUUUGCAUUAUAAUAUGGAUACACACACAUGCACAGACACACACAUGCACAGACACACACAUACACAGACACACACACACAUAUAUAUAUAUGUACAUAUAUAUACAUAUGUAUAACCUAUAUAUCAGGAAGUGUAAUGUAGUAGUUUGAAUAAAACUGGCCCCCAUAGGCACAUAGUGACACUAUUAGGAGGUGUGGCCUUGUUGGAGGAAGCAUGUCUCAGUUUCUCCUUGCUGCCUGCUGAUCUGGAUGUUGAACUCUCAGCUCCUUCUCCAGCACCAUGUCUGCCUGUUCACUGAUCUGUUCCCCGCCAUGACGAUAUUGGACUAAACCCCUGAAACAGCAAGCCAGCCCCAAUGAAAUGUUCUCCUUUAUAAGAGUUGCCAUGGUUACAGUGUCUCUUCACAACAACAAAAUCCAAA
rnacentral:lncRNA from 1 species